UAGGGACCCGAGACCUCACUGUCUGCUCCAGGUAACAUCUCUGCUGAUGCUGUCGGCGGACUUAACCCUGCAGACAGCCAUGAGGUCUCACAGCUUAAUG
rfam:Methanohalobium evestigatum Z-7303, complete genome.